UGCAGGCAGCCCUGGCUAUGUAUUCAAAUUUCUGAAAGUGAUUCAUGCAAAUUCGGAAGCAUGUUUUAUAAUGACAUUUAUCAGGAAAUGCUACCUUCCCAUGGGCUGCAUGGUAGAUGUGGGGGUGGGGCACAGCUUUUCCACACAAAGAUUAUGCUCAGAACAAGAGGUGAUGAGACCCGGGUCCUCGGAUGAACUCAUAAAACAGAGCCCUGGACCAUGAAGGGAGAAGGGACACUUGAUCUUAUUUGAGCCACAAUGUUUUAGGAUCUUCUCAUUCACAGCUUCUCCUGUACCCUGAGUCAUUCAGGGGGUCUCAGGUAUUUUACAGCUUCUUUAGCUUGUUAGCAUUUUUCAAGGCAAGACAUUGACUUUGACAUCACCUUCGAGGAUUAUCAUUAAUACACUCCCAUCUUAGAAAAGUACUUUUAACCUGGACAUUCUCGAACUUAGAAAAGGUACGAUUUCAUAGUAUUACCUUACUGUAAAUAAUGUCUUUAACCAGAGUAUGCCCCAUCUUUUAGUUUACAGACUUAAUUUGUACUGAAGAAGUUGCUUACUAUAUCACACUACAAUCAGAAGGUGCCCAGGUUUUAGUUUUAUAGCUGAUUAUAUUUCAAGUUCCUUCUUCCCUUUUCCCAAUUAAAAGGUUCUACCUGUUGGGUCCUGGCUUUUGAUUCUUUCACUCUUUUAUUCUCGUUGUUUCUUCCUUCCCCACAUUUACACACUCAUUUGUGGAACUCCUGCAACAUGCCAGACCCUAGGCUCCAGGCUAGAGGGAGGAGUAAGACACAACCCUUUAUGCACAAGGUCACCACCAGUGGGCCCAGGAGCCAUGAUAACAAUUACAACAUGAUGAGAAAUGUGACAAAGGAGGGACACACAAUUUUCCCCUCAAGCCCAGGGAAUGAGGCCACCCCCAAGCUGCUGCUGCACGAUGCAACUGUUAAGAUGUAAGCUGUCUACGGCCAAGAGUUUCAUGUUUUGGCAAGAUUAAGGAGGAUUCAAAAGCAAAUUUCUUUUUCUUUUCUUCUUCUUCUUCUUCUUCUUUUUUUUUUUUCCUAUUCCCAGACUUUGUCAAGGCCCUCUUCCCAAGUUUGAUAGCCCAAUUCCUGAUGUUAGUGGUAUUUUGCUAGAAGGUGGGAGGGUUUACGUUCCAUUCUAAACUGUUAGGAGAAGUGGGAUUUAGGGAAGGUUAUGUUUCACCUUAGGAACAUCUGUUGACUUUGGGCUGGAUGGAGUCAUUUAUAUGUGGACGGUAUAAAGCAUUUUGGAUUCCUGCAGAUGAAGGUGCUAUAAAAAGUGAUGCCAUUCUUAUGCCAUGUAAGGGAUAUGGCUCUUCAAACUGUCCCAGCAAGUGGUACAGCUAGUGUUACAGCUCUUGACCAGGAAAAGAACCAACCGGCACAUGGAGAGUCAGAGAACAGCCUUUAUUCCAUCAGUAGAAUCAGCAUGCCACCAAUUUCUGACCCCACCUUCCUUGUUCUCCUCCAGUUUUUAUACCCUUGGUAGGAUUGAAAGCGUGCAAUCAGCAACUAGCUUUAACAUCCAAUCAGCAACAAGCUUUAACAUCCAAUCAGCAACAAGCUUUAACAUCCAAUCAGCAGUGGGAUUCAAAAAGUAUCCAAUCAAGAUCGCGCAAACAGCGCAGCCCAUGGAGACGACGGGCACCACCGAGAACGGACACGAGGCCACCGCCUGAGGAGCCGCUGUGCCUUGGCCUAGACGGAAGCGGGAUGUGAAGCCGACUUCUAAGCCACUUGUAUCUGUUACCCUGGACAAGGAAAGGAGAGAGACGAGGACCUCACUGGGUCUGGCAGCAACAAGGCCUGGUGUGGCUGAGCCCCGGCAGUGUCAGACUUCGGACAAGAGCCAGGCAGGAAUUGAGGUCUCUGCUGGAAAAUGCCCCAGGGUGGUGCCACAGCUGCAGGACACUAGGCCGGGCAGGAGAGUGUGCAGCUCCACGCUCAAGUGUGUGCACCUUGCAGGGCCCAGCCAGCACGUGGAAGGAAUGACCCAGCAGGGCUUGCUGCCUUCUGUAUCCUGCCGAUGUCAGGGCCCGCCAAGGUUUCACUUUCACCGUUUAUUUCCAUCCAUCAGAACAGCUCAAAGGAACCCACUGGUUUCUGCUCAUUGAUUCUGUGUGGCAAGAAACACUUCAGAGCAUUUGUAAGGACACAAUUAACAUACCGUGCAAAUUAAAGGGGAAGACCUCUCUCUCACUGCCCACACUGGCACCUGAACCUCCACAUGCUAACCUGGGGUGGAGGAUCUGUUUCUGGAAACACUUUGCAGGGAGCUCUAUAGGAAGCUCCGUAGGAAUUGCUCAGCAGAGUAAUCCAAUGCCCUUGCCAUUUCCUGCCUGGCAAAUUAGAGCAUAUCCUGCUCACAGGGCAGUCCCAACCUCCUUAGCACUGAAAAGUGAGCUAAGAAAGGCAGAACCUUCUCCACCCAGAUGGGGCUGAGUGCCUGGGAGCUUGGGCCCUGGUGUGUGGUGGGGACAGGAGAAGGCUCCAUUCCAUGCACAUAUCAGGAACCAUCAGGGGCAGAGGCAGCCAGGGAUCCUGGUGCCCACACCUGCUCCCCGUCCAGAAAGACCUGCACCCAGUGUGGUGGGGCUGGGCGAGCUGCGGCACCGUCAGUGAGCUGCAGGCUGACAGGGAAGGAAGGGGUGAAGCAUCGCAGGCAGAGUUCACAGGGCUGAUUGUACCUGGGGUCCACAAAUAGAAUUAGGAGAAGGAACUCUCCUAGGACAGAGCUAGGGUGGCAGAGGGAACAAGGCAGGUCGUCGGGUUGCCUCUACCCUGAACUCAGAGAGGCAAGAAGGCCUGCUGGGGGCUCAUACAGGGCAGCCUGAGGGGGGCUCAAGGCACAGCCGCCUUCCUCUUGUGGGCAAAGCACCUCUUCUGCUGCUGUAUACAGUCAGCCCUGGCCAAUGUCUAUGCUAAACAAAUGCACUCGAACGACUGGUGAAAAUCAUGCAGUCUUCUCUCUUUAGCUAAAGCAGAAAGUCACAGAGUCCUGGUACCUGCUGCUGCUGGGCUCAGCCGGCAGCUGCAGCUAAGUGUGGACAGUUGAGCACCAGAAAGGCCCACAGAAGGACCAGCCAGGCUCUGGGGGGCAGGUGAGCUCCUCCGGGGAGGGCAGGGGCUGCAGCUCCUCUGGAAGCCGGGGUGUCUGUGCAGGGCUUUGGGGCUUACACUGUGCACUGGCAAAGGUCUGAACAGAAGACUUCUAAGAACUGUGAUUAACAUAUCUGUUCAUUCACUAAGUAUUUCUUGGCCACCUACUAUGUGCCAGACAUGGUUCUAGGAACUGCUAAUAUGUUAGGAACAAAAUAGACAAAAACAUCUCUGCCCUAAGAGAGCACACACUUUAAAGGGGGAGAGAGACAUACACCAAAAUAAACCCUUAAGAAUAUGUAGUAUAUUAAAGACCAUAAGUACUUCAAAGAAAAUACCCAGUAAAGGGAUAGGAAAUGAUGGUGGAGUGAAGCUGCAAUUUUAAAUUAAGGAGGGUGAGAAGAACUUGAGAGGGGGGAGGGAGAUUCUGGGGGAAAUGCCCCAGGCAGCCGGAACUUACAAACCUGGUUAAGGUCCCAGUGCACACUCCAAUAAGCUUGUUUAGGAUGUAAAAGAGGGGAAGGGGGGGCGAGCAGGUUGGGUGGCUGUUAAUUGCCUGCAAAGGAGGAACUCUUUGGUGGCCAAUUCCUGAAUCCUGCUCUGGCACCCAGCCCUGAAGGGCUGGCAGAGGAUCUGAUCUGCACACAUAAGGGGAUUUCAGUUUCAGGAAACAAAAUACCCAGCAUUCCCAAUGCACCAGAAAACAGACCCAGGCAUAGAGGAUGGGGAGGAAUGAGAAACUGCUUUUGAGUUCAUCUCCUGGUCAUCUUGGAAAGAGGACCUGGGAAAGCAGGAGUCCUUUUAAGAUUUUGGUCCAAAGUCAACAACAGAUACUACAAAUGCCUGGCUUUUCAUAGGGUCGUAGGCCAGGCACUAACACCUGGCACUACCUUUAUUCAACACAUACUUCCGGGGGCCUCCACUGUACACACUGCACAAGGUGCAGCACCAGAGACAGACGAGUGACUUGCAGACCCUUACCAGAAAACUUCACAGCCCCUUAUGGGGAAGCCUGCUUACUGAUAAACACAGGUGAGAACACACACACCUCUAUAGGAGUGUGUGCCUAAUGAUGGUGUCUGUUUGUGUAUUUGCGUACAUAUCUGAAGUACCUAUCUUUAUCUGCUCAUAGCUCCAUUUAUCCAUCCAUCCAUCCACCAUGCAUCCAUCCAUCCAACCAUCCAUCUCUCUAUCUGCCAUGUAUCCAUCCACCAUGCAUCCAUCCAACCAUCAUCCCUCAAUCCUUUCAUCCAUAAUCUCUCCCUCCCUCCCUCCAUCCAUCAUCCAUGUGAACUUACUAUCUUCUCUGUGCCCGGCGCUGGGUGAGGUUCUAGAGAUGUAAUAAUAUAAGGGCUGACAGACACUCCCAUAUUCACAAAGUUUGUAAAGAAGAUUUUAGAUUCAUAAAAUACAGAACAUACAUGACUUCAAAACAUCAACAGGGUAGAAGUCUUGCAUAAUUAUGAGAUAUGCUAAGAUGAGGGAAAAAAGAGAAAGAAAAGGAAGAGACAGAGAGAGAUAGGCACAAGGGGGAAGAGAAUUUUGCCAUUUUCUUGAGUUUUGCAAUAACAUUUGAAAUGCAAACCAAAAUUGAAUAAAAGGCAACAUUCUUCCUUCUGCAGGCCACAGAGCUGGGCAGACUUACCACACACAUUCCAGCAGCACAGACACUGGGUAGAAGAUACUUCUUCCAGCCUUGCCCUCAGAGAACCUCACACACCCCGAGAGCAGGAGCAGCCAGACUGUGUAUACACGCCACAUGUACUUCAUUACCUAUGUAGCGUUUCAGACUUUUUAACCAUUUGCUCAAUCUAGAUGGAGGCAAAGGUUUUUCAAGGGCCAGGAAUGCUGUCUUCUUCCUGUGUCCACCUCUCAGUGUAAGUCAAACUGUCACCUGGAAGGGUGAUGCAAGAACCCAACAGAUCAAGCUGUAGUUGAUCUGGACCUCAAGUCAAGAGGUUCCCCAGAGAGACUUCUAGAAACCACUCACAUGCAUAUAACUUUCCUUCCUUCCUUGCAUAGCUCCAAACAUUGAACCGGCUAAAGGUGGGGUAGGGGUGAGGCUGGGCCUGUAGUGAGGAAAAGCAUCUACCUCUCCUCCUUUGUGUGACACCUCUGCAGGCGAUUUUACUUCCCUCUGCCUCCCUGCUUCUUGGCUCUAAGCCAAGCUGCGCACUGCCCUUGUGCAGCCCCCGGAGACAGGAAACCUCUCUGCUGAAGCUUCCUCCCCGGGGAGACCUGUCAGCUCCGCCUCGUCAGAACCCAUGGCUUCCGUCUCAGAAACGCACCCAAGGGAGGCUGAGCCCAAAAGAUGGGGUGGGUGAUGGGGUUCCCCUGUUCUCCUGCCAACACAGCGGGGAAGGCAACCCUCCAGCCACGGCCUCUGGAACCAUUGGAAGCCAGUGAUUGACAUCUUGUUGAAAACCUCUUAGUGGAUAACACCACCUGCUGCUUUGGGGCCAGAUGUUCUCACGGAGAUUGGGUCUCAAUGCAAAGGUGCUUUCUUCCCACGCACUGUGUUUCCCCAGAAAUCUCCUGGACGGUGCUCAGACGCAGAGAUUUAGAGACAACUGACGGGCUUGGUGGGGUCCGGGCAGACACUAGGCCUGGAAGCUGGGGGACCGAGGAGGAGGCUGAGUGGAGAUUAAACACCACACGGCGGCUGCGUAGAGACGCCACGUGGAGGAAGCCGAAGCAGGAGAGACAGGGGCGUUUUGAGAGGAGAGCAAGUGUGGGGGAAAGAGGAGGAGCCUUCCCAGGUCGCUGGAUAAAGACGACGGCCUCUGUGGACCCAGGACCCGUCCCCCAAGGAGACAGUGCAGCACCAGGACGUGAGGAAGGAAGGAAGCAGCACGUCUGUCACCACUGGCUUGAACACCCCUGGGGAAGCCUGCACCCUCUGUCCCCGGUCAGACGGUGGAGAGAGAACGUGAGUCCAGGGACUGUCUGACCCUCGGACAUUCCACCUCUGGAUGGCAUGUUUGAAAGUAUCACAGUAACAAGAAAAAGAAACAAACUGCUGAGCUGAUUAUGCAAAGGCCAAAAGUGAAAACCGGGACCCUGGACUUUGAAGUACUUGACAAAUUGAUUCAAAAUGUAUAUGGAAGAGCGAAGGCCCCUGCCCUACUGAGUAUCAAGGCUUUAAGACAUUCCCAUGAGACCACCUCGGCCAGGAUGAUGAAGACACUGAAUGGUCCUGAGAAAACCCCUCUGCAGUGCGCACUCCCAGACCCGGCCUUUCUGUGAUGUCUGCCUACUCAUUAAAUCCUCAUCCAGCCAGGGAAAAGCCUCUCGGCCUCAUCUUAACAUGACAAGCUCAACUCCAAGGCAAGGAGAGCUCACCCCCUCCUCAGCCCAGCACCCCGGGUUCUUGCCCCUCCUUCCAGCUGCCAAGACUGCCCCGGAACGCCUCUGUAGGGCCUGGCUGCCCUCAGACUCAGACGGUUUACAGAGCAGGACCUGAAUUAUGACGUCAGCAGGAAAUGCAAUGACACAAAGGGAGGAGAGGUGUGGUUAUUUGGGGGCUUUCAGGAUGCUGGGAGGCAUGGAGGGGUAUUUUCUACCCAUCUCUUUUCUUUCUCUCUCUUCCUCCCUUACCCCUUACCCUUCUCUCUCCUCCCUCUUUCUCCCUUCCUAGCCCUUCCCUUCAUCUUUCACUGCUGUGCCUUUCAGUUGUCAAGGUGAUUUUUUAAAAAUAGAGCAAACUACUCUUUGAAGUGUGGUAUUUGCUUUGGUGCUGAGUUAUCAGGACUGAUCAUCUCCAGAGCUCAGCUCUGCUGGAAAACAGCCCCACCUCCCUUCACAGAAGUCCUGAAGUCCUGACCACACCAAGACUUCGAGUCAGCAGUGGGAAUCCACUGGAAUUUGGUCAGAACUUUGGGAUUUUCAUGGCCAGUCUUUGAUGUUGACAUGGGACCCAUCCCUAAUUAAACCUCUCUUCCAGCACACAGAUGGUGGUGGGAAGCAGACCUCCCUUCCAAAAAUCUGUCUAUCCCGGAGUUGCACAGCAGGGCACCAAGGUUGACAUUUGUUACAAAUUUAUUCAUAUUUACCAAAUCUACUCUGCCACAAGAGGGUUUUAUCUAGACAAGACUCCUAAAUUGGCUUUGCAAAAUUUAAUCCUCUAUUGAUUGGGCUCAUCUCCUGUAAUCCAUCUAGUCAUUGAAGAGCGUUUGCUAAAUUUCUAUCUUAAUAAAAACACCAACCACCACAUUCAUCUUCCUUUGUUAAAUGGAAACAAGGCAUAAUCUAAUUUUUAAAAUACUGUAAGCAGAUAAUCAAAAUUCAACAACUGUGUGCCCUGAACUCAACUAAUUUCCACUUCAAAUGCAUCUAAUCCACGUAGGCUCCGGCAAUGAAUGAUGAUGUUCUGGUGAGGAAGAGGCAAUUUGCAUGCCACAUUUGCUCCACCAAUUUACUAAAUUAAGUGGCAAGAUAAUAAAGGAAUGGCGUUUUGAUGAAAACAGUCUAAUUAAAAGUGAAUCUGAGAACAUAAAGUUUGAGUUCUAUUACUGACUGCACACCUCAAAGAAUGCAAACAACAACCUAGCAGCGUUUGAGGGCUGCAUUCGUGCAUCCUCGCAGGACCGAGAGAGCCAAGCGCUGUCAGCCACACUCUCAGCCCGCAGAUGGUAACACCCGAAGGGUCAGCACCCGGCAGCUGGCCAGGGAGGCCCCAGUUUCUGGCCAGAGCAUGAGCCAAGAAACCAUGUGGGCUUCACAAAGGCCUCAAUGUCACCAGCUGCCCCCGAAUGUGGGCACAAGACGACGGUUCACAUCAGAGCCUGGUUAUCGUCACCCUGACUUUGAACCAACACACCCCUCGAGAGCAAACCGCAGUUCUGGGGCGUCCUGUAUGCCUCAGAAGAUCCCAAAACAGCUGUGAUUCAAUCACUCUGACAAAUGAGUAUUCUGACAGCCACCCUGACUUUGAGAGCAGGCCUUCCACAUCGGCUGGUGCUCAGGGGCAUUCCUUCCUCGCACCCAGGCGUGUGCCGCAAGCUGGCCAAGAGCAAACGCCGGGGACGGGCUUGUGCGUCUGGGAUGUACGCAGCCAGGCACGCCAGGAGGAGCAGCCGGAUGGAAAUGCUCCCAAACAUCUGGGGCUGCGCUUCAGAUUUCAAAGUGAUUCUUCUGCUUGCACAACUUUACAAUCUUGGCAUUUGCCAAAUGCUUAUGUUUUGCUUAAUCUGAAAUUAGGCAAGGAUUUCAACUCUCUCAAUAUCCCUAGAAUGGUUUUUCUGCAUACAGGGAGCUUUUCUGCAUACUGAAAUUCAGCCUGUAAUUCAUGGUUUAGUGAAACAGAAGGAGAGGGGAAAAAAAAAAUCACAGUUAGCCUUUCCCUCCACUUUCUGAUACCUGGCCUCUGCUCAGAUGCAGUUCCUCCCUGCCUCUGCCGGUCAGGAAAGGCUUUUUUUUCAGAAAAGCUUUGGUCAGGAAAGGCGGCAGAGCUGCCCAAGCCCCCUCGGCUGUCCCGCCAGUGAGCUGCGUGACCGGACUCUCCCAGCCUGCCCAGGGCUAGGGCGGGACCUGCCCAGCUGCCUCGGGACAGUGCCACCUCCAGUCCCCUUGCUGAUGUGAGAGGCCAGGCCUGGCACUCGGUUCCCAAGCAAGAAACACCACACUAGCAGAGUCUGUCCAAGCGGGAGGUCAGCUGGGGUCCUGCAAACCCCAAAACAGAGGAUGAAGACUUCUGGCACAUAAACCCCGCAGCUUUGCUCAUAACUGCCAGCAUGUGGAAGUGAGUGCGUGUCCUUCAGGGGUGGAUGGACCCCCACGCUGUGGUCUACCCGGCAAUGGAGCACCAUUCAGUGAUAAAAAGAAAUGAAUCAUUAAGCCAUGCAAUGACAUGGAGGGACAUUAAACACUUAAUAAGUGAAAGAAGUCAGCCUGCAAAGGCUACAUACUGCAUGAGUCCAACCGUGGGACACUCGGGAAAAGGCAAAACUAUAGAGACAGUAAAAAGAUCCGUCAUUGCCAGGGUUGUUAAGGGAGGGAUGAAUAGGCUGAUCGGAGAGUUUUUAGGGCCCUGAAACUACUCUGUAUGAGACUGUAAUGGGAGGUACGUGGCACCAUACAUUUGUUCAAACCUAUGGAAUGUGCAACACCAAGACUGAACCUUAAUGUGAACUCUGGACUCUGAGCGAUUAUGAUGUGUCAACGCAGGCUCGUCAAGUGUAAUAACUGCCCACUCUGGGGGGCUGUUGAUGUUGGAGAGGCUGUGCAUGUGUGGGGGCAGGGGGGACAUACGGGAAAUCUCUGUACCUUCUGCUUAAUCUUGCUAUGAGCCCAAAACUGCUCUCAAAAAAUAAAAUCGACUUUUUUUUUUAAAAAAAGCAGAGGGACUACCUAAGAGGUGUGACAAGUACUCUUUGCAUCACGGGCUAUGUUGUCAAAGGCCACCAUGUAGUAAUGAUCAUGGUGACAGCACACCUGCAGUUCUGCUGUGAUGGACAGGAGGCCAGGGUCAGGGACAGACACACACACUCCAGGGUCCUCUCCAGCAGUGGGAGGCACACAGAGUCAGCCUCCAUCACCUGGUGACUUCCCUUCCCUCCAUCACCUUCCCUGACACCCGCCCAGCCUCCCGGGCAGAGGCCUGCAGCAUUACAGCCCAGCUCGAGGGUGAACCCUGAGAACCAGGGUGCUAGUGGGACCUCCCCAAGCCCUGGAGUCCAACAGAGGCGCCUCUGAAUGCUUCCUACAACCCUCUCUCUUUUUGAAACUUCCUUUUCUUCUAGCUUAGAACUGCAUGCUAGAAAUGUAUUUUUCUAACCACAUCAAAUCCAUAAGUACUAGAAAAUUUUGCAAUUUAGGUGAAAAGACUCUGAUACAUUCCCAUGAGAUUUUACACGGUCACACUGAAAAACAUUCACAUCUCAAAAUGCUCCACAUUCUUGAGUAGGACACAGGGACAGAGACCCCUCUGGCCACAGGUGGUGGUCUGGGAGCUGGUGGCUCUGGUGCUUGGAUUAAGUCCUAACUGGUGAAAACAAAGGGCUUCCAGGGCAGAAACACUAUGCUCUGAUCCUUCCACACCAAGGCAGCUGCUAGCUCACCUAGGCACCUCCUAAAUGUCACAAGAGCCAGACACAACAAGAUAAAAGAGCCCGAGAAGCAUCUCAGGCAGGAAAGCCAGGGCUGAGAUAGAGCCUGCAUUCCUUACCUAGACAUGGACGUCCUCAUGUGUUACAGAGAGUUUCUGAUGUCUGUUCGACAGGCACACACAUCGUCCCUGUCCUUACACCAAAAACCAAUGGUCGUUCUGCAUGUUUACUUUCCAUGCUGAGAUACUCUUGCUGUUUCAGCAUAAGCAAGUGCAUCCUGCAGAUAUAAGCCAGUGUUUCCCUAAAACUACCCUGUGGAGAGAGGGGCAGAGGUGUGUUUCCCUUUGUUUUUAAUCACUAAUGGAGCUGCCAGACUUGAGGCACAAAGCGGUUUUUCUGGCUUGGUAUUACUCAUUCAGUGGCCCCAAGCUGGGGCUGCAUUAAGCCCCUGGACGAUUCCCACUGGACACUCUUGUCUCAUUACGGAGAGACUGGUGGCCCUGU